AAACUUCCAGGACUGGAAAAUUCAGCUCCAGGAAUUAACUUAUUCAGCUGUUUGUUCUGUAGUGGAUGUGUAAUUUGAUUGUAACGUACUUUCUAUGCAGAGUUGGGAAAAAUAAUUUGAUUAGGUAUUACUUUCAGAUAAUUGUUUUGACUGGAGUUCGAUGGGUCAUAGUUGGCUUUUUUAACCUUGACUUCAUGGUUAUUCAUGUUGCCAAAGUACUUUAUGUGGUUGAUCUAGUUGGUCCUUCAGUGAUUAGGAUUUAGCGAGCACUAGUACGAAAUAAACAAGGUAAUAAUGAGUACCGAAGGC